UAUGUCUAAUAUUACUUACGUAAGACCUAAUCAACUCAGUCCAUUGGGCGUGAUAAAUAAGCUUUCCAGUUGGACACCUUGGAACGUCUUCAACCGUAAUGGUUUAUAAUAUCCGGUGCCACCGUGCAGUAAAUAAGAUUCUUUCCUAGGUAUUAAUAAUUGAAUUGAUAACAUUUGUCACGGUCUGCAUGCUUUGGAUGAAAGUGAAUAAUAAUAAUAAACGUUUUAUGUCCUUUAUUCCUACUGAUAUGAUUUCGUCGCACAGCGAUCGAUAUUGCCACAACUGAUUACGAUCUCACGCCUCAAGAGCCGGCUGACCACCACGCCUAGAUAUAAGAGAGAGCAUGGACUCAAUUUUUAAGGACGUCAAUCAUUGAUACAGAGCAACUCACCGCAACAUAAAAGCAACGGAAAGCUCAAUAUCAAUCCAUUUUUCAACUUUAGUGAGACGUGAACAGCGAGUAUCCAAUUUUACCGUAAUGGAUGAAAUAGAAAGCACGUGAAUACUCUCCAGAAUAGAAAUUAAAAUUAACCUUGAAGACAGAAAAUGAUUAAAUGCAUUGUUUGAAGGAGCUGCACCUGUGAAUAACAAAAUCUUCACAGAAGUUAUUCAUAGCAAUACAGUGUUUGUGUGGACCAAAAAGAAAAGAGUCAAACAGCUCCACAUCAAGAUCUGAUGUGCAUUACACUGUCGCAGAAAAACUAGCACAGGAAACUACUGAAAUUAAAGAACACAUCAAAUUAUUGGAUGCAUGAACGACUCACAAGAAGAACCUUAACCACCAAGAACUAAAUAGCACUGGAGCAAGGCCACAAGCUUAAAAUGGUGAGGAUCAUCAAUGGGAAAACAGAGAAAUAACCAAAAUUAUUUAAUUACCAUAAGGACCAUUUAUUACCCUGUAUACCUUAACUAUUUACCAUAAAAGUUGGCAAAAGAAUCAGAUGAACGUUAGACAGACAUUCAGUCUACGAAGUGUUGUUCUACAGUACUUCAAACGCAAACACCACUUAAUCAAACAACGCGACAGUGUAAGCACAACCCACACACGUACACAAUUUGACAGUAAAGUGCCAAAUGUUUAACAUUUUAAAAUCUUAAAGAUGACCUGAAUACACGUUGUUGACCCUGACUUUCAGUAGGCGUGGUUUGGAGUUUCUUGACAAACUCUAGCUGGUAACUUUCGAACAGAAUGAGAUUUGAGUUUGAAGUAGUUGAGUUUUUUUAGUUAUUCUAGAGGUUGCCAUACUGUAUCCAAAUUAUUCGUGCACGUCAUAGCCUGUGGGAAAUUUACUGGUGAUUCAAGUAUACCUGUAAUCGUCCGAAAUUCAGCCAUUUCAAAGAAUUUCCUUUAACAACCCGACCAUGAGCAUCUGGCCACAAAAAGGGCUGUUUUAUGAUUAGCUGCGCCAUUUUGUUUGAGUGGCGCAAAAAUAACGUACUGAGUGGAUAUGGACGACAAAGUGGAUGGAUUAAAGUACGCGUUGAGACACAAAUAGCCUGUGGAUUUUUGUCAUAGUAAAGAUGGGAUUUCAAUGGGCCUAUAAAAGGCAGGCUAUUGUGAUGAUCUUGAUGUUUCUAUUUAUUUUAUGUAAGAAUUUGAGUGCAUUCAGAUUUCCUCUCAAAACUUUCUGUGUUUAUCGCCAAAUAUUGUUAUUUGACAUCAUUUCACCUUUUCAGACUGGAAGAUAUGAAACACUCAAGGAAUACGUCACGCGUUCCUGAUAACUCGUGUUUCAUCAGGAAGUUCCUGUCUGGAAAUAUUUCGGUAGAUUCUCUCACUCGGUUGUCAAUCAUUUCAAUUAGGGUGUGAAAUCGUACAAUUAAUUGCGCGGUCUACUCCCACACUUUGCUUUCUUGGCGUGAUGAAUGGUGCGAGAAAAAUAAAUAAAUGCUCGAUAAAAUUCUUCAACAGGUUUGCGAAACGAAUAGAGACAAAACGAAAUGUAAAACUGAACAGGAAAACAAAUUAAGUGCUGAAGUUUCAAGGCAAAGCAGAACACCUGCAAGAUGAGCUCCAACUAACUGGGUAACCCUUUAAUAAACAAACAGAACAAUCUCAUCAAGUCGUCGAAAGGAACUGUUUUUUGUCUUCGACAAGAGUCUGUUUUUUUAAGCUAUUAAUAACAAACCUUAAAUCCUAGUACGUAUAACAUGUCGUUU